AUGAAAGAGAGGGAAAGGGGAUAUUUGGAAAAGGGAAAAAACGUUAAUCGAGAUCUAUUUUCAACUCUCAGGAACAAAACGCUUCAAAAACUCCAAUUCCUUCUAUCUCUCAGACGCUCUUUCUUCCUUCAUCUUGUUCCCAUUGCAAUACACUCAUCGAUCUUUUCCAACUUCAUUAUCAUCAACAAACCGCCAUCGCAGCAACCCAACCUCACUUCUCUUCCGCUAGCUUCUUCCUUUACAACCCUCCGUAAUUCACCGCAGCCACCAUAA